CCGGUGAAGUGUUUGGAUUGCGGCGACGUGGGCGGUUCGCUGCCCGCGACGUUGUGAGAAGUCCACUGAACCUUAUCAUUUAGAGGAAGGAGAAGUCGUAACAAGGUUUCCGUAGGUGAACCUGCGGAAGGAUCAUUG
rnacentral:rRNA from 1 species